rnacentral:lncRNA from 1 species
UUGCUUUAGGGUAUCACCUUCUCUAAUCUCAUUUAUUUUAAAAGAGUGAGGUUGACAGAGCAUGUUCGUUCUUUUUAGAUACAAUCUACUUGCUAAAGAGGCAAAGAAAGCACGCUGUCAUGCAAUGUUUACCCCAUGACAUUAUUUAAGAUGCAAAUUAUUCUUCCUUUGGUGCAAGUCCUUGUACUUGCUAAAAGGUACACCAUGAUAUCCCAUUUGGGUAAAAUGUCAAGCUUAUAAACUGACCUUUAAGAUUUGUAAGCUGCCUUAGUGCCGAACCCUGAGCAACCACAGUAGUGUUUGUUGUAGCCAAUAAAGGAUGUUGGAUAUCAUUUGAUGGUAUGAAGCACAGUCACAUGGCUAACUAGUUUCUUGGGCAGGCAAAAGUGAGAGAUUGAAAUUUUCAGAAUAAAAGCCAUAAAGAUCAUAAUAUUUUACCAGUGGGCAGGGUUUUUAGAUACAAUCUACUUGACAUGAAGAGGCAAAGAAAUAGCACGCUGUCAUGCAACUAGGUAUUCUGUAACUCUUAGCCUUUAGGGUCUUGAAAGAUUCAUAUGGCCAAAUAGACAAUUUUAUUGCAUUUUAUAAUACAAACGAGUUACCAAAAGAAGUUCAUUUCAUUGGAUUCCAGAUUCAAUUAAAUUAUCUUGCUUCCUGUGUCAGGAUAUACCCUUUUAAAACCCAUACUUUUAUGGAUUUCCCAUCUCCUACAGCAAAUCUUUCAUGGUUCACAGGCAGCUGGGGUUUUAUUUGCUUCCCUCACCUUAGUUUUAAACAAAACACUAAAGGUAGCAGCUGAGACUCCUGGUGCUCAAAGGCCCAGGCCAUUUUUCACAGGUAAGAUAAAUGUUGUUUGGAAGCAUUGUAACAUGCAGGUUUAAAAAAAGAUAGUUAAUUUAGAAAAUAAAUAAAUAAAUAAAUUAUCUGAGCAUACCAUACCUGCGCUGUUUCGUGGUCCCUCACUGCAACUAUUUCAAAGCUAAACCCAGAAGUCAGCCAGUGAACUUUGAUGGAUGUUUGCUAUACCAACAUUUUUCUUGUACAUCCAUUUAACAAAUAAGACUUUGUUAAAUGGAUCUAUCUUGCAGCAUAUGUAACAGCAUUAGCUUUCUCAAGAACAAUGGCCCUCUCGCUCAGCUGUCUAUCUUUUUGUCUGUAUCUCUGCACUCCUCUUAUUCUCUGGUCUUGGUCUUUGCUGCAGUAAAUGACAAGUGUUGUAAUUACAGUCAUAUUCUGUCUCUAUCUACCCUUUUAUAGAGGAGCUCUGACAGCUGGCAGGACUUUGACUCUCCCUCAGCGCCUAAUGCACAAAGCCUAUCAUUAAAACAGACUCUGGGGCAGGGACAAAGCUGGUGAGGGCGAAUGUCAUGCAACUCCUGACAUUAUAAUUUUGAAUUGGGCUUGAGGUAAUAUUUUAAUUACUAAACUAAAAUUUCUGCAAAGAAAGUUAGUGGAGUCAUAAUUUGUCUUGUCACCCAAGUGUUCUGGGGAUCUUUGCAAUAAUCCUUUUCAUCAACCAACCCAACCUUUUAUGGCAGCAAAAACAGGAAGGACGUAUUGUGUUGAUUGUCAUGUUGAAGAUAGUGAUACCAUCAAAACCACCACAACUACAAACUGAGUCUUGAUGGAAUUAUUUCAGUGUAAUGGCCAAGCGCAAGUAAGAUUUUCUACUCACUUAAUUCAUGUUAAUCUAGAUGCUGAAUGAAUUGUAUUUACUCACUUCAUUCACUUGUCAACAGUAAUUUAAACAGUAUUAUUUACCAGGUAAUCUGACCUUUUCACUCACUUGCCUCCAGGCGAGCUCCUUUUCAUUAUGGUUUUGGUAAUUGAAAGAAAAGGUAUCAUAUAAUUUGGGGCACCCACACACCAACACAAUCAGUUGUCCUCCAUUUUAGAUACCAUUGAACAACCAUCCGUUUUCAUACAUCACCAUUAGUUAUCAUCAUCAUUAGUUAUCGCGACGCACAUAUUCGCUUAAGUUGAGACAUUUUCAGCUUUCGCCCAAUUUACAUCUUUCACGCCGCCAGAGUAGUACGAGAAUCUGUGAAUCUGCGCUGAAUUUAUGUGGCAUGCUGCGGCGUCCGGAAAAAAGGGAAACCUGGAACCCCAUACCUUCAUCACAUUGAUGAAUGUAUGGGAAGAGGACCCAAACACAAAUGUUAAAAACCAGAGUAGAAAGAAGACAAGCAGACAAACCAGUUACAAGAAAUAAUGAGAAGGAAACUGACUUUCUUUUAAUCCAAUGACUUCUCCGUCGCCAUUGGGAGUGCCAUAGGAGAAAAGGCCCCAGAUGCAGGCAGUAGAGACCAGAAUAAUGCAUUAUAGCUUUCAGGAUGGCAUGCUAACAAGAUCCCAGACAUUUUCAUCUUUGAUUUGCAUACAGUACCUGACACCAUUUAAUUCAAACUGAUUUGGCGUCAUGUUCAGAUAACAAACACAAUUUAAAAAAUUGAAGACCGUGUGGAAAAUGAAUUAACUUACUCACGUGUAGGAGAAAUCAAAACAAAUGUUGACAGUUUCACAGGUAUGGGUAUUGAUUGACAUAUAAUUUCCAUCUGGAUUGAAUAAGACAAAAAAAAAAUCACAAUGUCAGGUUGAAUGAUAAAACUCCUGAUGUAAAAGAGGCGCUUACUCUAAUCAAAUUACCCGAGAUGAAUAAUCUACAUGCCAUUUCAAAUUUCCAACAAUCUUGAUGUCCUUCACUAAAGGACUGAAGUCAGACUGGUUGAAUCAUCCCCCAUUAUUUCAAUGUCCUUUCAUCAUUGACAUGAUGAUUCAUCAGUAUCUGCCCCAAAAACAAAACUGUCUCACCACCACAGAAAUCUCGUUUUUUACUGCUUUCAUUUACAAAUGAAACUAUUUCUAUUUUCUAUUUUUAUUUAUCUAUUUUUUAAAAAUGGGAACAGUACAUAUUGAUGAACAUUUACAUGUAAAUAUGUGGGAUUACAGCCAAAUGGCUAAUUUCCAUCCCCAGUCCCA